UUUUUUUUUUAAGGGGAACUUGCUCAACUCACAAAAUUCAAACUGGAUUUUUACAACACGUAUCUUGUUACACCCACCCUUUUUUGUAACUCAUAUCACCUGUUCGGAACCCCUAACUAGCCCUACUACAUUGCUUCCAUGAGCACACAGAGAUGAGGGAAAAGGCAGGAAUUUUUUUAAUGCAAAUGACUUCAUUGAUAGCAACGUAAUACACAAGAUUCAUCUCAAGAGAUACCUCCAAAGCAUAUGAGCAGAGGUGUCCUUCAAAGAUCAGCAUACUAUAAGAGGAAAACAAGCAAAAGCUGAAAAAAACACAUGAAUAUUUACAUAUUUAUUGAUCAGUUGAGCUCAGCUAAAAACAUUAAAACACUGAUUUCUCAGGCUUUGUAACAGACCUCCCCGUCACAGGCCCAUCCUUCUCCAGGUUUUGAUUCAUCCUUUUCAUCAUCUUUAGUUUCCUCACCUUCUUUCAGUGCACAUUUUGGAUGAAGAUCAAAGUCGCACUCUUCACAGUAGAAGGACCAGAUAUUUCCUCCUUUGCCACAUCCAUCACAACUAUAAACCAUUCGACGAGCAAGCACUAGUUCAUGUUCCUCAUGAAGUGCAUGUUUAAUCUUCUCAGGCAACCCCUUUGCCAUCUCCUCAUAUUUUGCUUCCAUCUCCUUCAAAUGCUCAUCAGUGAAGGGAUAAGCAUCAGCACCAUGAAGCAUAACAAGCAUUCUGGCUUCUUUUGUGAUAGUUCG
rnacentral:misc_RNA from 1 species